UGGUCCACCAUUUGCACGAUAUCGUGUAAAUAGACGGUCCGCAAUGAUGGCGGCAGGUGCGAAGAGGAAAGGAGAAAUGGGAGAGGCCCCGGGUGCCAAAAGAACACCUGGUCACUGGAGUCAAGGUCUUUUAUCGUCCAUGGACGACCCAGAACUCAGAGUCGAUGCUGAUGAUAAAGUUGUAAUUAUCAAGGACAAGUACCCAAAGGCACUACAUCACUUCCUCAUUUUGCCCAAAGAGAAGAUUGCCAACUUAAAGAAGCUUAAGUCAGAACACAUACUCCUCCUUAAACACAUCCACAAGAAAGGAAUUGAGAUUGCAGAAAAAGCAGACAAAAACCUGCAGUUUAGGUUUGGCUAUCAUGCAGUCCCCAGCAUGAGCCACCUUCACAUGCAUGUGAUCAGCCAGGACUUUAACAGCCCCUUUCUCAAGACUAAGAAGCACUGGAACUCCUUCACUACGGAGUAUUUCAUUGAUUCCAAAGAUAUCCUAGAUCAGCUGGAAGAUAAGGGGAGAGUAGAGACAAAUACAACAGAGAAUGAACAACUGCUCAAGAGAGAGUUAAGGUGCACUGUGUUUCUCUGCACCUUGUGCAGUAGUUAUGACGGGUAGGCAUUCGCGGAAUUCAAAGCAUGCUUACCUUGAAAUCAAAAGGCUUGAGACAGCUGCCAAUCAUAACAGCAUGGAACCUAUCAGGACUGAUGCAAAGUGUCAUAACUACAAAACUCUGCGUGGGAAGACAGUAGUCCCAUUUUCAGCCAAAGUACAGAGAAUUGAAUGAAGCUCUAGAGACUUGGCUGCAAUGGAUGAUAAAAACUUUUGCAAGGUUGGAGAGCCAGGGAAUCCAAUCGCAGCGGUUGAACGUGGGAAAGCUGUGCUGGUGUCUGGAGGCAAGAA